rnacentral:rRNA from 1 species
GAUGAACGCUGGCGGCGUGCCUAAUACAUGCAAGUCGAGCGAACAGAUGAGGAGCUUGCUCCUCUGACGUUAGCGGCGGACGGGUGAGUAACACGUGGAUAACCUACCUAUAAGACUGGGAUAACUUCGGGAAACCGGAGCUAAUACCGGAUAAUAUAUUGAACCGCAUGGUUCAAUAGUGAAAGACGGUUUUGCUGUCACUUAUAGAUGGAUCCGCGCCGCAUUAGCUAGUUGGUAAGGUAACGGCUUACCAAGGCAACGAUGCGUAGCCGACCUAAGAGGGUGAUCGGCCACACUGGAACUGAGACACGGUCCAGACUCCUACGGGAGGCUGCAGUAGGGAAUCUUCCGCAAUGGGCGAAAGCUUGACGGAGCAACGCCGCGUGAGUGAUGAAGGUCUUCGGAUCGUAAAACUCUGUUAUUAGGGAAGAACAAAUGUGUAAGUAACUAUGCACGUCUUGACGGUACCUAAUCAGAAAGCCACGGCUAACUACGUG